rnacentral:rRNA from 1 species
GUGGAUUAGAUACCCUGGUAGUCCACGCCGUAAACUAUGGAUGCUAGCCGUCGGCAAGCUUGCUUGUCGGUGGCGCAGCUAACGCAUUAAGCAUCCCGCCUGGGGAGUACGGCCGCAAGGUUAAAACUCAAAGGAAUUGACGGGGGCCCGCACAAGCGGUGGAGCAUGUGGUUUAAUUCGACGCAACGCGAAGAACCUUACCAGCUCUUGACAUGUCCGGACGGUUUCCAGAGAUGGAUUCCUCCUAGCAAUAGGCCGGAACACAGGUGCUGCACGGUUGUCGUCAACU